UAAACGUCAAGUUUCGUUUUUGGGGAAUGGAGAGAGAUCGGUUAUAUAUUCGCUGCUGAGCUGUUUACACUCAUUCAGCAUCUCUUGCAGGAACAGGAGCCGACACAAAUGUAAGAUGGACAGAGAUAACUGGAUUUCAGCCUUUCUGAUGCUGUGGCUUCUUAUUUGUGUUGGCUCCUCUCCCCUCUCAGUGGUUGUCCAUGCCUCAUCAAGGGUCGGUCUGCCAGCUGUCCUGCCGUGCUCUGUGGCAUCACACCUGGAGUCUGAUCGCAAGCCUCACAUUCAGUGGCAGACCAUAAGCGGUUCGGUGUUUGAGCGAAUGGGACAGGAGCAGUUUCAAGGGGAGGCUUAUAGAGACCGGGUGGAUGUCCCAGAGGAACUGCUUGUGAGGGGAAACUGCUCUCUGUUCUUGCAGGAUGUCAGAUUCAGUGAUGCAGGCAUUUAUGAGAGUUACUUGGUGGUUGGUGAAUCAAGUAUCAAGAAACGUAUUUUCAUUCAGAGCGUCUACCUUGCAGUAAUCGAUCACAAGGACAUCAAAUCUGUGCAGACUGGGGCAGAACUGAUCCUGGAUCUGCACACGCAUCAAGCUGAGCAAGUGAUUUUUCAAAACAAUAAUGAAACAGACUGGACAGUACUGUGGGAAAAAGAUGCAGUCAUAAAAAAGAAAGGUUAUCUGGAAAAGAGAGACAAGAAGUUGAUUCUCAGUAAUGUUGCGGCCCGCAGCGCCGGAACAUACAAAGUUCUUGACUCAGAGGGUUUGGCUCUCAGCACAGUGAAGGUCACUGUUACGGAACCUGUGUUACCAAAAGAAACAGAAACUCUGCAAAUACAGUCUGCAUUAGCUGGGAUCGACUGGUGGUGAGGACGCUGUUGGACAGAUCUCCUAUAGCGGCAGCCUUACUGAAGCUGCUGUAGAUCUCCAUGGCGGAGUGGCUGACGGAGACGGCCUGGACCUGGAUGUGCUGAGGGAGUCCUUUGAAGCUGGACACCAAGACCAGACAUGUGCUCUGAAGCUGCUGGCUUAGGUUGUGGGCAAUGGUCAAUGUGCGCGAUUCAAUUUGCUGAUUGAAAAAACAUUUGGAAAAGAGAGUUUAACAAGUAUAACAAGUAAGUACUGCUCCAGGAGAGUCUCAGAUGUGCUCAGUGCUGUGUCCACGCUGCUGCUCAUCAGUUUGACCACACUGCUCUCCAUCACCGUUUGGACUCCACCGCUCACCACCGUCUUGGUCUUCUCCAUGCCGUCCUGCACUGCUCCACGUGUCCUGUCCGUCACUUCACUGAGGGUGGAGGAAACAGACUCCUUGGCACCGUUCAUGGUACCGCUGACGGCUUCCUUGGCUCCUGUCACUGCCUCUUUAGCACUGGCGACGAUCUGAAAGAAAAGAACACCAUUAGAGCAGUGCUUAGAGAGUACUGCUGUCAAACGAUUAAUCGCGAUUAAUCGCAUCCAAAAUAAAAGUUUUUGUUUGCAUAAUAUGUA